rnacentral:rRNA from 1 species
AUUGAACGCUGGCGGCAGGCUUAACACAUGCAAGUCGAACGAGUGGCGGACGGGUGAGUAAUGCUUGGGAAUCUGGCUUAUGGAGGGGGAUAACUACGGGAAACUGUAGCUAAUACCGCGUACCAUAGGAUGAGCCCAAGUGUGAGUAGGUAGUUGGUGAGGUAAAGGUUCACCAAGCCGACGAUCUCUAGCUGGUCUGAGAGGAUGACCAGGCAACCGGGGAAGAGGACACGUCCCCGACGCCUACGGGAGGCAGCAGGGGGGAAUAUUGGGAAAUGGGGGCAACCUGACGCAGCCAUGCCGCGUGAUUGAAGAAGGCCUUCGGGUUGUAAAGUUCUUUCGGUAGCGAGGCGUUAACUACAGAAGAAGCACCGGCUAACUCCGUGCCAGCAGCCGCGGUAAUUC